ACCUCCUUUUCUCCUCCUUAUUUCCUCUUCCCCAAUUUUCGCAAUCCCUAUGUAUCAACUCCUCUUGUUUUAAGAAUGUCUUCGGAUCGUAAAACCCUGUUGUUAGAUAAUAAAGUGCGUGAGAGUAACUGUUCACGUUUCGACGGUAUCUAACCAGAAAGCCACGGCUAACUACGUGCCAGCAGCCGCGGUAAUACGUAGGUGGCAAGCGUUAUCCGGAUUUAUUGGGCGUAAAGGGAACGCAGGCGGUCUUUUAAGUCUGAUGUGAAAGUCUUCGGCUUAACCGGAGUAGAGCAUUGGAAACU
rnacentral:rRNA from 1 species